rnacentral:rRNA from 1 species
UGGGGAAUAUUGGACAAUGGGCGAAAGCCUGAUCAAGCCAUGCCGCGUGUGUGAAGAAGGUCUUCGGAUUGUAAAGCACUUUAAGUUGGGAGGAAGGGCAGUAAGCGAAUACCUUGCUGUUUUGACGUUACCGACAGAAUAAGCACCGGCUAACUCUGUGCCAGCAGCCGCGGUAAUACAGAGGGUGCAAGCGUUAAUCGGAAUUACUGGGCGUAAAGCGCGCGUAGGUGGUUCGUUAAGUUGAAUGUGAAAGCCCCGGGCUCAACCUGGGAACUGCAUCCAAAACAGGCGAGCUAGAGUAGGGCAGAGGGUGGUGGAAUUUCCUGUGUAGCGGUGAAAUGCAUGGAUAUAGGAAGGAACACAAGUGGCGAAGGCGACCACCUGGGCUCAUACUGACACUGAAGUGCGAAAGAGUGGGGCGCAAGCAGG